rnacentral:rRNA from 1 species
UAGAGAUAGAGCUUCCCCUUCGGGGGCAAAGUGACAGGUGGUGCAUGGUUGUCGUCAGCUCGUGUCGUGAGAUGUUGGGUUAAGUCCCGCAACGAGCGCAACCCUUAUUGUUAGUUGCCAUCAUUCAGUUGGGCACUCUAGCAAGACUGCCGGUGACAAACCGGAGGAAGGUGGGGAUGACGUCAAAUCAUCAUGCCCCUUAUGACCUGGGCUACACACGUGCUACAAUGGGAAGUACAACGAGUUGCGAAGUCGCGAGGCUA